AGUGAACGCUGGCGGUAGGCCUAACACAUGCAAGUCGAACGGCAGCACAGGAGAGCUUGCUCUCUGUCUGGCGAGUGGCGGACGGGUGAGGAAUACAUCGGAAUCUCCCUUUUCGUGGGGGAUAACGUAGGGAAACUUACGCUACUACCGCAUACGACCUACGGGUUAAUGUGGGGGACCGCAAGGCCUCACGCGAUUAGAUGAGCCGAUGUUCGAUUAGCUAGUUGGCGGGGUAAUGGUCCACCAAGGCGACGAUCGGUAGCUGGUCUGAGAGGAUGAUCAGCGACACUGGAGCGUGGACGCGGUCCAGAGUCCUACGGGAGGCAGCAGUGGGGAAUAGUAGACAAUAGGCGCGAGCCUGAUCCAGCCAUACCGCGUGGGUGAAGAAGGCGUUCGGGUUGUGAAGCCCUUUUGUUGGGAAAGAAAUCCUGUCGAUUAAUACUCGGUGGGGAUGACGGUACCCAAAGAAGAAGCACCGGCUAACUACGUG
rnacentral:rRNA from 1 species